AGUACACCUCUCCUGCAGAAGUCUUCACUGGAGAUAGAGUGGUUCCCCUCGUCUCCAACAUGACUGUUGUUGAGUGGAAAGAAAGCACGAUUGACAGUAGUUUAAGGCUGGAUGAGAGAAGAGGUACUGGAUGACUUUCAAGAUACUUUGCUGCAAAUGACAGCAGAGAAACAGGGCGGAAGUGCCCGGUGAUUUGCUCACUAGAAGAGGUCCAGCAUUCUGGGUGCCAAGUUGGAACAGAUCAUAGUCCUUGCUAGAAUCUGCUUGUUUCAUGUGAAAUGACUGAGAAUCCCCCCUCACCUACACCCUGGACUUACCUCCUGUGGAUCUCCUAUCCUGUGGGAAAAACUUACCUGGUACCAGGGAUGCCCAGCUGACCGCCCAGCCUGAAGGGGACCUGGCCUCCUGCUAAGAACUCACACCAAUAUAUUUAACAACCACUUCCAGAGGUUUCUUUUCCAAAGUGCCAACGGUUAAGUUUAUGGCUGAGGAGGACUGCUGCCACCUUGAGGACCAGGAGAGAGAAUCAGUGCUGAUGCCUGGUGUGGGAUGGACCCAAUGAGAAGUUAUGGCUCCUGGAAAUGGGCUUCUUUCUUCUUGCUUCCAUGAGGCAAAAGCAAGGAUAGAUAAGUUUCUUUCUGUCUUCUACAUUGUCACAUCAUGUAUUCUGCAGCCCUGAGGUAAGAUUUCAAAGCAAUGCACAUUUGGUCACAGAAUAAAAGUAUAACCUGAAAGACUAAUAUAAUACAGUGGAGUAUGUUAAAUUUUAAAUGC